rnacentral:rRNA from 1 species
AUGGAGAGGAUGGCGUCCUCCUACUUCAAGGAGAUUUUUACCAAGGAUCCUACCUUGGUUGCAGAUGAGGUUCUUAACAUCAUAGCACCAAAAGUAACUUUGGAGAUGAAUGAGGCCCUCUGCAAGGCGUUUUCCGAGCAAGAAAUAUCUGAUGCCCUCUUCCAAAUUGGCCCCUUGAAGGCCCCUAGAUGUGAUGGCUUUCCUGCACGUUUUUAUCAACGUAAUUGGGCUGUGCUUAAACCGGAGAUUAUUGCUGCAGUUCAAGAGUUUUUUAACACAGGGAUUAUGCCGGAGGGUAUAAAUGAUACAUCUAUUGUGUUAAUUCCUAAAGUUCCUCACCCCAAGGAACUAAAGGAUUUCCGUCCAAUAAGUUUGUGCAAUGUGGUAUACAAGAUUGUGUCGAAGUGCAUGGUGAAUAGGUUGCGUCCGAUGCUUAAUGAACUUAUAUCAGAGAACCAGAGCGCUUUCAUCCCAAGGAGACUCAUCUCUGAUAAUUCUAUCAUUGCAUUCGAGUGUAUUCACCAUAUUCAAUCAGUGAAGGAGAAUUCUCCGGCUUUGUGUGCUUAUAAACUGGAUCUCUCGAAUGCCUACGAUCAUGUGGAUUGGGACUUUCUUGAGAAGGCCCUUGUGAAAUGGGGUUUCUCGGAGAUCCGGAUCUCGCGAGUAAUGGCUUGUGUUACUUCUGUCAGAUAUUUAGUAAAGUUUAAUGGCAAGUUACUGGAAUCAUUUUCCCGCUCGAGGGGGCUGCGACAAGGUGACCCUCUGUCCCCCUUUCUAUUCUUAUUUGUGGCUGAUGCCCUUUCUGCCUUUAUCAGUAACUCUAUGAGGGAAGAGAGUUUGCAAGGGGUGAAAAUUUGUCGUGGGGCUCCUGAGAUUUCUCAUCUACUUUUUGCGGAUGAUUUCCUGUUAUUCUUCCAAGCAACCGAGCAGCAAGCGGCACUGAUUAAAGAUUUGUUGAACACCUUCGCGUCAGCCACGGGCCAAUUGAUAAACCCCUCGAAGUGUUCCAUUCUUUUUUCACACAAUUGCUUGCAAGCUGUUGUGACAAAUAUCAAGAGUGUGUUGGAGAUUACUCAGGAAGUUUUUGAGCCUAGAUACCUAGGUCUUCCAGUGCCGGAAGGAAGGAUGCACAAAGGCAAGUUUGAAACAGUUCAAGAACGCCUAAGAAAGAGACUAAUUGAUUGGAGUGAGAAAUAUAUGUCAUCAGGUAACAAAGAAAUCUUAAUUAAAUCCAUGGCUCAAGCUAUUCAUGCUUAUGUUAUGAGUGUGUUCACGCUUCCAGCCUCGGUUUGUGAUGAGCUUACCCGUAUGAUGCACCAAUAUUGGUGGGGAGAGGAGAAUGGGAAGAAGAAAAUGGCGUGGAUGAGUUGGGACAAAAUGAGUCUCCCUAAAUCUAUGGGGGGCAUGGGUUUCAGGGAUAUGAGAGCGUUCAACCAAGCGCUGCUAGCUAAGCAAGCUUGGAGGCUUCUUGACUCCCCUGACAGCCUAUGUGCGAGACUAAUGAAGGCAAAGUAUUACCCUCAAGGUCAGUUGCUAGAUACAGUAUUCUCAAUCUCUGGUUCAGUAGUGUGGAAAGGUAUAUUGCAUGGUUUGGAGCUGCUCAAAAAAGGUGUCAUAUGGCGGGUGGGGGACGGGGAGCACAUCCGGACGUGGCGAGAUCCUUGGAUCCCACGACCAUCUUCCUUCCGGCCGAUCACCCCAAAAGGCUCCCGCCGGCUCAAUCGUGUUUCAGCGUUUCUGGAUGCUAAUGGGGCAUGGAGGGCUGAUCGCCUCCAUGAAUAUUUUUGGGAGAUGGAUGUUCAACGUAUUCUCAAAAUUCGAACUUCUCCAAGACAGCGGUCUGACUUUAUCUCAUGGUAUCCAGAGAAGAGUGGAGGUUUCAGUUAA